AUUGAACGCUGGCGGCAGGCCUAACACAUGCAAGUCGAGCGGAGCGGCGGACGGGUGAGUAAUGCCUAGGAAUCUGCCUGGUAGUGGGGGAUAACGUCCGGAAACGGGCGCUAAUACCGCAUACUAUCAGAUGAGCCUAGGUCGGAUUAGGUCGUUGGUGGGGUAAAGGCCUACCAAGGCGACGAUCCGUAACUGGUCUGAGAGGAUGAUCAGUCACACUGGAAAGGAGACGCGGUCGAGACGCCCAAGAGAGGCAGCAGUGGGGAAGAUUGGACAAUGGGCGCAAGCCUGAUCCAGCCAUGCCGUGUGUGUGAAGAAGGUCUUCGGAGUGUAAAGCACUUUAAGUUGGGAGGCGUUACCAACAGAAUAAGCACCGGCUAACUUCGUGCCAGCAGCCGCGGUAAUAC
rnacentral:rRNA from 1 species